GGACUGUCGGGGCCCCGCUCCCCGCUGCUCGCAACCCACAGCUCACCUCGGCUGGCUGGCGCGACUCCACUCCACUCGCCUAACCUCAUUUCGGAGAGAGACUCGGUGCGCGGAGGACGUGACGGAGGCCGAGUUGCGCUGCCGUGUUGCUUGGUUACGGGCCACAACAGAAGCGUCGCGUCGUCGCGUCGUCGGGCCUGGUGGACUUGGACGUCACUCAGCGGAUAAUGGCCGUGGAUCGAUUGGUCGCGCGCGUCCCGAAGGUCCCGAAGCCCAAGCUGGCCGUCAGCUCCGCGCCGUGCCAGUGUCCAGUGAGGUGUUGAGUGCGUCAACUAGUUCGCGCGUGUCUGUGUGUCUGAGUGCCCCGAAAGCAAGCCCAGCCCAGCCCGCGACAAAGUUGGAUUACGCACGCGGACUCUACACCGCGGCCACGAUUCUGCUCCUCACUCGAGUGGAGGUGCACUAUGAGGUGGCCCGCCCCCGCCACUGCCGCCGCUCCACAGCCAGACGCGCCGCCAUGAUCGGAGUGCCCCCCGGCCUCUUGGGUCUACUACUGACGGCGGCAUGCCUCCUGGGCCCCGCGCGUGCCGCCACGCCGCCCCCGGAGCAGGGCCCCGCCGC